rnacentral:rRNA from 1 species
UACGGGGGGGGCAAGCGUUGUUCGGAAUUACUGGGCGUAAAGGCUCGUAGGCGGCCAACUAAGUCGGAUGUGAAAUCCCCAGGCUCAACUUUGGGAACUGCAUCCGAUACUGGAUGGCUUGAAUUCGGGAGAGGGAUGCAGAAUUCCAGGUGUAGCGGUGAAAUGCGUAGAUAUCUGGAGGAAUACCGGUGGCGAAGGCGGCAUCCUGGACCGACAUUGAC